UACGAAGGGGGCUAGCGUUGCUCGGAAUCACUGGGCGUAAAGGGUGCGUAGGCGGCGCGGUAAGUCGGGUGUGAAAUCUUGGAGCUUAACUCCGAAACUGCAUUCGAUACUGCCGUGCUUGAGGACUGGAGAGGAGACUGGAAUUCCUGGUGUAGCGGUGAAAUGCGCAGAUAUCAGGAGGAACACCGGUGGCGAAGGCGGGUCUCUGGGCCGAUACUGACGCUGAGGAGCGAAAGCGUGGGGAGCGAACAGG
rnacentral:rRNA from 1 species